rnacentral:rRNA from 1 species
AUUGACGCUGGCGGCAGGCCUAACAUCUGCCAGUCGAGCGGAUGAAGGGAGCUUGCUCCUGGAUUCAGCGGCGGACGGGUGAGUAAUGCCUAGGAAUCUGCCUGGUAGUGGGGGAUAACGUCCGGAAACGGGCGCUAAUACCGCAUACGUCCUGAGGGAGAAAGUGGGGGAUCUUCGGACCUCACGCUAUCAGAUGAGCCUAGGUCGGAUUAGCUAGUUGGUGGGGUAAAGGCCUACCAAGGCGACGAUCCGUAACUGGUCUGAGAGGAUGAUCAGUCACACUGGAACUGAGACACGGUCCAGACUCCUACGGGAGGCAGCAGUGGGGAAUAUUGGACAAUGGGCGAAAGCCUGAUCCAGCCAUGCCGCGUGUGUGAAGAAGGUCUUCGGAUUGUAAAGCACUUUAAGUUGGGAGGAAGGGCAGUAAGUUAAUACCUUGCUGUUUUGACGUUACCAACAGAAUAAGCACCGGCUAACUUCGUG